CCUACGGGAGGCAGCAGUGGGGAAUCUUGCGCAAUGGGCGAAAGUCUGACGGAGCGACGCCGCGUGAGGGAUGAAGGUCUUCGGAUCGUAAACCUCUGUCGGCAGGGAAGAACGGUCACUGUGCUAAUCAGCAGUGAAUUGACGGUACCUGCACAGGAAGCACCGGCUAACUCCGUGCCAGCAGCCGCGGUAAUACGGAGGGUGCGAGCGUUAAUCGGAAUUACUGGGCGUAAAGCGCUCGUAGGCGGUAUGUUAAGUCAAGGGUGAAAUCCCUGCGCUCAACGUGGGAACUGCCUUUGAAACUGGCAGACUUGAGUGUGUGAGAGGAUAGUGGAAUUCCAGGUGUAGGAGUGAAAUCCGUAGAUAUCUGGAGGAACAUCAGUGGCGAAGGCGACUAUCUGGCACAUAACUGACGCUGAGGAGCGAAAGCGUGGGUAGCAAACAGGAUUAGAUACCCGUGUAGUC
rnacentral:rRNA from 1 species